ACAAUUUUCAACGUUAAUACGCCGCCGGUUAAGCAAAGGAAAUUAAGCGGGAAUGUGGUCAACGAGCAAAGAACGGAGCAGUGGAUGGAUAUUUACAAUGGAGCAUCGGCGUAAACCGUAAAGGAAAGCACUCGAAAAGAGAAAAAGAAGAGGAACGUCGCCGUCUCUGAAGCGCUCUCGAGAUUCAGGAGAAAAUACAGCUUGAUUCUUCAACUUGCACCCUCGAGAUUUUUAUAUACGAAACUCAGAAUAUAACCGGAACCGUAUGCGACAUCCUGUAGUAAAGGAUGAGCAGUUUAUAGUACAAGAAUAACUUAAAAUAUUGGGACUUUAUUUGAUAAAAUAUCUAUCUGGUUAUUGCAUACCAAGAAAGCCUAAUACGAUGAAAUAAAAGUACUACAAAAGAACACUUACGGUAUAUCAAUUUAAAACUGAAUUUUAAUCCGAAUCUUAUCAUUUUCACUACUGUGAUAAUUCAUGCACCCUCGUAAUCUUCACCUGCUUAUCAGUGCGUCUAUAUAGCCAGAUAAUUGACUGUGUGGUUGUCAAUCGAUUGAAUUCAGGUGCACAAUAGGAUGUAACCUAUGGAGCUGGUGAAACGUGGCACACCAGUUAAUACGAUUACGUGUUACGCACACUUAAAAGACGUUUCAUUAUUCGAGAAGGUUUGCCGGACAGCUGUUCAAUCCUUUUUUGAAUUUCCGGAUUUAAUACAGAUGAUUUCCAGAGGUCAUCUUUGCCUACUUCGUAAAAGAAUUAAUGAUCACGUUUUGUAUUAACGUUAAUCACUGAUCAAUAAGUUGAUUCAAAUUCCUUAAAUCUCUGUAUGAAUACCACACUCUGGCUUAUAAAUUGAUCAUCGAGCAAAUAAUUCAUGUUUAUUCGCGCGAUCCUUUAUCGGGAUAUUAGCCUAGCCCGUUGUUAUCGACUAAUUAACCGUUCCGGUUAAUUACAAAAUCUACUUGAACGGGUUUACCGUCGUUCUGAAAAUGAUACGUAUUCACGCGAUAGUGAGUACCAUAAAAUACAUCGGGGCAAUAAACGCACGGUAUUUCUGUCAUUUCAAAUAUUGGCCGGUGCUUCGGACACGCGAUCCAUUAAUUAUUGCAAGCGACGUGUUUCCACUGGUGCCAGAAAUAGUAGAGAAAAUAUUAGAAACAUCGCAUGCUCGCAUAAAGCAAUCAAUCUGUAGAAUACUGUUGAUACUAUAUCAAUUAUUCAUGCAACAAUUGUUCUUUUCCAUUUGACAAGCAUUCUAUUGUUACCAUUUGAAAAUUAGAAAUUUAAAAUUUCCAUGAUACUCGUUGAGUUUCAAUUUCAGGUUCCACUAAGAAUUUGAAAAUUCAAUGAUCAAAGAGAAGUUGAAAGAACGAACGGCAAAGAAAAUCACGAAACAAGGAGUUCGGAAAAACGUUGAACGAAAUUCCUGUAGUAGGAAGUGCAAGUCGUUCACCGCUCGAAGCACAGGAUCUAAUUACUCCUGACGGUACAACGAACCUAGUCAAGACACAUCAGACGUCCCUGAACAAUUUACACGGUGGAGCUAAACCAAAGGUGGUGCUGUUUCACUGUGCUAAGCAAAACUUUUGGGUACCAAAUAUGUCAUAGAGCAUCGAAUGGCUCUAUAAUGAUAAGCAUAUAGCAGAAGGAAGGAUGGGUGUUGGUAGAAAAGUCUAGGUGCUCGUCUAGCGAAACCUUUCAGAAGAGGGAACGACUUUAUGGACCAGGUGACAUUUAGAACGCUUUCCAAUUUCCCUAGACUACUUUGUCCUGGAGACAUGGUGGCAGUGUAUCAACGUUGGAUAGAUCUCUAAGUAGAACUGUUGAAAGUGAUCAUAGUAACCGUUAACAAUGAGAGCAACAAAGAUUCUUUGAAGGGAAACAAAGGAGAGGAAGGAAGUGCUUUCGUAGGAAGAGGAGACUCCCGUCAUUUUGAGAGUCAUAGCUCAAACUUCCUAUCUUUGUAGAUAAAGAAAAUGGACAAAUAACACGAGUACUAGAUUGCACGUGACUGUACACGCGUGUAGAUAACGGCCAAGUAGUAAGCAACUGAUGAUAAUGUCGUUCCACUAAUUGUGGGAAUAAUUUCAUUUAAUAAAAGUUUACCAGAAAAACGUCCGCGGCAUUUUAAUUGCGUUCUUGAACAUUCAAUGCCAUUGAAAAUUGAAACUGUUAAACGGGUAUUCCGUAUAAACAUUCUUUGUAGUUACAUUUACUUUCUCCCCUUUUACAUCAAACCAAGGGUCGUUUAACUUGACAAGAAUUUAUUUGUCUACUUUCAGGGAUCGAUGGACGUCGAUUUUCUUACGUUUACAUAAUACCAGGAAUAAAGCGAAGCGAACGUAAUGAAAACGUUGGUCGAACAAGAGUGGCCUGUAUUUGCAAACCAUUCGCAAGACGUUCCAUAAAUUUUGUAACAUUCAUUAAAGGCAUUAUUAGCGAUUAUAGAGGCACUUAUGAGUGUCCGUUAAUCCAGGAUUAAAAUGAUUCAAUUCAACCGAAACGGUAAUUAACCCUGAAUCACUGUAAUUAAUCCUGGGAUAAGGUGUGCGAGAGUAUGGGUUUACGCGUUCAUUGGUUAUUGAUUCGGUUAUUCAAACGAUACCAAACUACGAGGAGACGAGCGCAAACAGUAUUCGUCGCUGAACGAUAAGCGGUAUAAUUGGUAAUUAAUAAGCAGACUAAUGGUGGUUGGUACAACAACGAUGAAACAUCACCCUUUCGACAAUUACCAGCUUGUAAUGUAACAAUCGUGUGGUCAUCUAAAAACCAGAAAAUCACCUGCAACAUGCAAACCAUCAAGUACAUGGCAUUAAGCGAAAUGGAAUGGUAACUGAUAAAACACAUUCGAAGAAAAUCCCUCCAGUUAGGCGUAUCUCGCAAUCCAUUUGAUCGUUUAUUAAACCGCUUAAUAAUACACCUGAGCCGGUUAUACAGGUGUUUCUGGUCUCAUAAUUAGCACAGCUCAAACUAGAACAAAUGAGCAACGUUACCGGGAGAAUAAUUUAAUCGUGUAACAUGGAUUUUAAAAAAUCCUCUUUGUAUCGCAUUUUUUUUCACUCAGAUGAGUAGAUUCUACCUUACCUUCUAAUCGACCAGAACAGGUUGUAAAUCGAUAAAUUAUGAAUUUAUAUAAAAACAAAAAUAUCAGCGACUCGUUUUUCUGGGAUGCAUCCUGAAAUCUUUCCAUCUCGUUAGUCCCUGACGGACACAGAACCAAGUAAGCAAAUGCAUAUGAUUCAUUUGAACGUGCACGGAUAUCUUUUCGUCACAAAUAACGUCCCCCUUUCUUCUCGCUGUUUCGUUUCGUGCUGGUAACCUCGCGCAUUAACGCGGUCCCGGAGGCGCGUUUAUUUUCAGCCCCAAUUAUUCAGGAGUACACGAUGAAAUUUUGAAAACUGCAUCUUUAUUGGAUUGAAAUUAAUCUCGUGAUUGUAAGAUUCUUGGAGGUCGAUUGAUUAAUAUCUUGAAGGUACCGCUAGACAAAUCUAAACUUUCCUUGGGUACAAUUGUGCGGUGAAUCUUCGGGAUUUAAUUUACAG